GCAUGACGUUCGUUGACGGCAGCGCGUUCGGCAUGACGUCGAAUGCGCGCAUGGUGCUCAACGAGAUGAUCUUCGAUCCGAACGGAUCGUCGAACUCAUCGCUGAUCAGCCUGGUUCAGGGCACCAUUACAUUCGUUGCGGGACAGACCGCCAAGAACGGCAACAUGCGCGUCGAGACGCCGGUUGCCACCAUGGGUAUUCGCGGCACCGCGGUGCUGGGGGAAAUCGGCGCGAACGACGGACCGACAA
rnacentral:misc_RNA from 1 species